rnacentral:rRNA from 1 species
CUACGGGCCGCUGCAGUGAGGAAUAUUGCACAAUGGGGGAAACCCUGAUGCAGCAACGCCGCGUGGAGGAUGACGCAUUUCGGUGUGUAAACUCCUUUUAUAUGUCAAGAAAAUGACGGUAGCAUAUGAAUAAGCACCGGCUAACUCCGUGCCAGCAGCCGCGGUAAUACGGAGGGUGCAAGCGUUACUCGGAAUCACUGGGCGUAAAGGACGCGUAGGCUGGUUGGUAAGUCAGGUGUGAAAUCCUACAGCUUAACUGUAGAACUGCACUUGAAACUACCAGCCUAGAGUACGGGAGGGGGAGAUGGAAUUAGUGGUGUAGGGGUAAAAUCCGUAGAUAUCACUAGGAAUACCGAAAGCGAAGGCGAUCUCCUGGAACAUAACUGACGCUAAGGCGUGAAAGCGUGGGGAGCAAACAGGAUUAGAUACCCCGGUAGUC